GUAUGACUCUCGGCAACAAAUAUCUCGACUCUCACAUCGAUGAACAACGUAGCAAAAUGCGAUACCUGGUAUGAAUUGCAGUAUCCUGCAAACCAUCGAGUCUUUGAAUGCAAGUUGCACCUGAGGCUACCAGGCCGAGGGCAUGCCUACCUGGGCAUCAUGCCAAGUGAUGCU
rnacentral:rRNA from 1 species